rnacentral:rRNA from 1 species
GAGUUUGAUCCUGGCUCAGGACGAACGCUGGCGGCGCGCCUAACACAUGCAAGUCGAACGAGCGAGAGAGAGCUUGCUUUCUCGAGCGAGUGGCGAACGGGUGAGUAACGCGUGAGGAACCUGCCUCAAAGAGGGGGACAACAGUUGGAAACGACUGCUAAUACCGCAUAAGCCCACGGUGCCGCAUGGCACAGGGGGAAAAGGAGCAAUCCGCUUUGAGAUGGCCUCGCGUCCGAUUAGCUAGUUGGUGAGGUAACGGCCCACCAAGGCGACGAUCGGUAGCCGGACUGAGAGGUUGAACGGCCACAUUGGGACUGAGACACGGCCCAGACUCCUACGGGAGGCAGCAGUGGGGAAUAUUGCACAAUGGGGGAAACCCUGAUGCAGCGACGCCGCGUGGAGGAAGAAGGUCUUCGGAUUGUAAACUCCUGUUGUUGAGGAAGAUAAUGACGGUACUCAACAAGGAAGUGACGGCUAACUACGUGCCAGCAGCCGCGGUAAAACGUAGGUCACAAGCGUUGUCCGGAAUUACUGGGUGUAAAGGGAGCGCAGGCGGGAAGACAAGUUGGAAGUGAAAUCUAUGGGCUCAACCCAUAAACUGCUUUCAAAACUGUUUUUCUUGAGUAGUGCAGAGGUAGGCGGAAUUCCCGGUGUAGCGGUGGAAUGCGUAGAUAUCGGGAGGAACACCAGUGGCGAAGGCGGCCUACUGGGCACCAACGGACGCUGAGGCUCGAAAGUGUGGGUAGCAAACAGGAUUAGAUACCCUGGUAGUCCACACCGUAAACGAUGAUUACUAGGUGUUGGAGGAUGGACCCCUUCAGUGCCGCAGUUAACACAAUAAGUAAUCCACCUGGGGAGUACGACCGCAAGGUUGAAACUCAAAGGAAUUGACGGGGGCCCGCACAAGCAGUGGAGUAUGUGGUUUAAUUCGACGCAACGCGAAGAACCUUACCAAGUCUUGACAUCCUCUGACGAACGUAGAAAUACGUUUUCUCUUCGGAGCAGAGAGACAGGUGGUGCAUGGUUGUCGUCAGCUCGUGUCGUGAGAUGCUGGGUUAAGUCCCGCAACGAGCGCAACCCUUAUGGUCAGUUACUACGCAAGAGGACUCUGGCCAGACUGCCGUUGACAAAACGGAGGAAGGUGGGGAUGACGUCAAAUCAUCAUGCCCUUUAUGACUUGGGCUACACACGUACUACAAUGGCGUUAAACAAAGAGAAGCAAGACCGCGAGGUGGAGCAAAACUCAGAAACAACGUCCCAGUUCGGACUGCAGGCUGCAACUCGCCUGCACGAAGUCGGAAUUGCUAGUAAUCGCAGAUCAGCGUGCUGCGGUGAAUACGUUCCCGGGCCUUGUACACACCGCCCGUC